UAGACGGACUCGAUUCUUGCACCAGCAGAACGUGUGCGUACCGUCGGCUUAUUGCACGAGAACUCGUGAUGGGAGAAAGGCGAUUCCCUAUUAUUAUUGUUGCAUUCGCGUUCUCUCUUAACGUAAAGGCGAACACGGCGAACAACGCGCAAUAUUCGAUAAAACGAAGAAAAAGAAACGAGAAAUGAAACGAAAAAAAAUCUUUUCAGGUUUUUCAUAACACACACAUUAAUACAGUUCGUUUUGCACGCUCGUGCAAUUGUUUAUGCAAACCGCCUGCCGCCAACUCUAUCCCUGCCAGUGGUCGAAACGGUUUUGCACUGCUGUGCGCCGGAACGUUUUGUUUCGUUUUCAUUUUUUCGCCGACCCUUUGGCCGCCGUUCCGUGACUUCCACGUCCAUUAUACGUGUAUUCACGCGGAAUUCGGUAUAUAUUUACAACACGUGUAAAAUAUUUUGUGUACGAUAUAAUGCAAAAAAAAAAUAAUGUUGCCACGCUGCACGUGUGUGCGUGCAUAACGUAUGAUGCGCUUUAUAAACUGAACAUUUAAACGACGGAAACGCGCGACGACGACGUUUUAACGGGUAAAAAUAUUAAUCUCGGGGGACGGACCGUCGAAUUUUCAUGUGCGACAAUUUUAUACAUUUUUAUAACAUAGUCGUCAAUAAUGCGUAGACUUAUUCGUAUUAUUAUGUCAGUGUGCGAAAUCGCAUCGUCAUUCAUCUUUUCUAUAAAUAUACACAUCAAAUUUAUGCAUAUAUAUAUUUAUGUAUAAAUCGUAUUCAAACCAUCACGUUAAAAAUACCUAAAAAUAUAAUGUGACCGAAUGUACUUGGAUUCAGGUUGCAUAGUAUAAGAAAGUUUUAAUUUAAUUAAUAAAAUAAAAAAUUGUACGUAUCGGACUUCAUUAUAUAAUACUGUGUACGCGAAUAUAGUGAUAUUAUAUUUUAUUCAUACGAUGACGGUCCACAAGUAACUCCGAUAUAGUAGUACAUUCAAUCCUGGAGCGAAUGAACACAUGUAUUAAUAAUAUUAUAAUAUUAUAAUUAACGUUAUGGUAGUAUUGUUAGAACGCAUGUCUAACACAUUGACUUCUCGCGCUUCUUUAUUGAUUUAAUAUUUUUUUAUCUUAAAAGUUUUAAACCCAUAUUCCCGUCAUAAUAUAUGAACCGACAAGAAUGCGAAUGUAAACCCAUCGUGUUAAUAUGCCAUACGAAUAAUAUAAAUUUAUAUCGUCGACAACGGUUUGAUUUGAAAAAUAAUCGAAUUCUCCCGGUCUGUCGUCAAAACAUAUACUAGUGGUAGUAACGAAAUUAAGGAAACACAUACACUCACCUGUUGAGGUCAACCCACAUUAUAAUAUCAGUUAUGUAUAUAAAUCGUAUAAGUCGAAAUAUUCCCCACUAAUUACGUUUAUUAUUGUUUCGCAAGUCCACUCGCUCGGAUAUAAAAAAAACAAGUAUAAAUUAUAAGCACCUACAGCACCGCGUAUGCGGCCUACAUGCGUUGUGCACGUGUACGUAUUUUUAUAUAAAGAUAAAAUAUACAUAUUAUAUUAUUAUUAUAUUGUAAUCCAUCACAAUCCAUGCGCCAUAUCGUUAUAUGCACUUGUACAUACAUUCCCACAUUUUUUUAUAAUUCACAAUUACAUUACAAUUUAUUUGUAACUUUCUGAGUAAACAAAAAUGUUACCUUAUUACAUGUAAAGUACUGACCAUCUGCAGUCAACCAAUAUGCAAAUAAAAUUUAAAUUAAUAUUAAUAAUAUAAAUAAUUAAUUAAUAAUUAUUAUGUUAAUAAUAUUUAUAAGUAUAUAAGAUGGAAAUCCUGCACAACGACGAUCGAUUGGCGUAGAAACGUUUCUCUGGCCGUCAAUGUGGAAAUCGAUUUUCUAAUCCGCAGCACUAACAAAAAAUCAAAUAGCGUUUAUUUUAUGUAAAAUUGGACCUAUUCUAACUCAUACGAGUAAACAGAAUAAAGCAAUCACCGCAGAACAUCAACUAUUGACGACAUUGACUGACUCGGAAAUGGUGCACAACACAACAUACCAUUAUGGAUUUUCUAAGGGAUUUUUCUGAAAGAUAAAAUCGUUGGAAUAUCUUUGUUAACCUUACAUCGAUACCUUGGAUGACGGACGAACUACGUGACAACGUAGGUUAGAAUUAAUUUUAAUUUUAAUUCUAUCAAAAACUACUUUA
rnacentral:lncRNA from 1 species